rnacentral:rRNA from 1 species
CGGAGAUAGCUGGUUCUCCCCGAAAUAGCUUUAGGGCUAGCCUCAAGGUGAGAGAUACGGAGGUAGAGCACUGAAUGUCCUAGGGGGGAUUGCACCUACCGAAGACUAUCAAACUCCGAAUGCCGUCAUCUUAUACUUGGGAGUCAGACUGUGGGUGAUAAGAUUCAUAGUCGAAAGGGCAACAGCCCAGAUCGUCAGCUAAGGUCCCUAAAUGUAAGUUAAGUGGUAAAGGAUGUGGGAUUGCACAGACAACCAGGAUGUUGGCUUAGAAGCAGCCACUCAUU